CUUUGUAACCUCCUUUUAACAAAUGAGGAAACUGGCUGGGUGUAGUGGCUCACACCUGUAAUCCCAGCACUUUGGGAGGUCAAGGCAGGAGAAUCACUUGAAGCCAGGAGUUCAAGACCAGCCUGGACAACAAAGUGAGACCCUGUCUCUACAAAAAAUUUAAAGAUUAGCCGAGCAUGGUGGUACAUGCCGGUAGUCCCAGCUACUCAGGAGACUGAGGUGGGAGGAUCACUUGAACCCAGGAAGUCAAGGCUGCAGUGAGCUGUGAUCAUGCCACUGCACUCCAGCUUGGAUAACAGAGUGAGAAUCUGUCUCCAAAAAAAAAAAGAAAAGAAAACAAGUCAUGGAGCUAGUAAAUGCCCAAGAGAAUAAGACUAAACCUAGAUCCGUGGGACUCCAAGCCUGUGCGCGCUCCAUGCUUGCUUUUUCCACCACACCACGUUAACACAAGUUCCUCCUUCCAUGAGACCCCAGGGGCAAGGGGCACCUGAGAAGCCCUCGUGGCACCCUCCCAAGUUGUUUCCACGGCUACUACAGUAAGAAAGUGUUGCUGGGGGAAAGUCAGCUCUCUGGCCCACGCCUUCCACCUGUUUCUGCUGUGUUCUUUCCUCAGGGAUCCCAACGGCUUCAAUGACUGGACCUUCUCCACUGUGCGAUGCUGGGGGGAGAGAGCCCGAGGGACCUACAGGCUUGUCAUCAGGGAUGUUGGGGAUGAGUCAUUCCAGGUCGGCAUCCUCCGGCAAUGGCAGCUGACCCUAUAUGGCUCUGUGUGGAGUCCAGUAGACAUCAGGGACAGACAAAGGCUGUUAGAGAGUGCCAUGAGUGGAAAAUACCUGCACGAUGACUUCGCCCUGCCCUGCCCACCGGGGCUGAAAAUUCCUGAGGAAGAUGGUUACACCAUCACCCCCAACACCCUCAAGG
rnacentral:sRNA from 1 species